rnacentral:rRNA from 1 species
CGACCCCUGGACGUCGACCUCGGAUCAGGCAGGACUA